CUCCUGUGCCUGCUGUGGACAAAUCAAAUGGAUAUGCGUAUCAAUCGCGCCCGCGGUGAUGAUCUUAUUCUCGCCCGCGAUGACAUCCGUGCAGCUGCCCACGACCAUGUUGGGCGUUACGCCCUCCAUGACAUCUGGGUUGCCCGCCUUGCCAAUGCCCACAAUCAUGCCAUGCUUGAUACCGAUAUCCGCCUUUACAAUACCCGUGUAGUCGACAAUCAGCGCAUUCGUAAUAACCACGUCCAGCGAGUCGGCGUCUGGCCGCCCCGUCGCCUGGCCCAUACCCUCGCGGAG
rnacentral:sRNA from 1 species